UCCUGUGUGGCUCAGUUGGUAGAGCAUGGCACUUCCAAUGCCAAGAGUUGUGGGUUUGAUUCCCGCUGGAG
rnacentral:tRNA from 1 species